rnacentral:misc_RNA from 1 species
AAAAUGGCAUGGAUGUCAUGUUGAAGUUGUUGACAUCUACAAAAUAUGAAUGGACCAGUUCACCUGAAUUGCUUUCAGCACUAAAGCCCCCUCUAAUGCGACUGUGUGCCAGGUACCUUCUGGAAGAAAAAAAGAGAGGAAAAGCUCUUGAUUCUGUUGCAAAUUUUCACUUGCAAAAUGGAGCGAUGAUUGAAAGAAUAAAUUGGAUGGC